GAGUUCCAGAUUGCCACUCUAUUGGGACCAACCGGAGCACUGGGCGCAACUUUGGUGUCUGGGAAGAGAGGGGCUAACUGGGACUUGACCUUGGCCAUUGGAUAAGGCGUCCGAGGAGGCGGGGCUAAGGGCGGUGCCUAGCUGCAGUCGGGAAGAAGAAGAGGGAGGGAAAGCCAUCCUCGUCUUGAACUCCGAGCGUGGAUUACAAUUUCUCGUGAGGAAUUCUUUUGCAGCAUCCCAUAAAUUUGGAUGCUGUAGCUAUUUCCGGCAGAGAUUACCGACUCUAUCUAACAGGUGGACUGCAGAGGAUUCAGCUGGUGUCUGCUCUUGGUGGUCACGGCACGAGGACACCUGACCCAGCUCACUAGCCAACUAGAGAGAAGCUACUGCCAGCAGCAGUGGUGGGGCUCGAGGACGAGCCUUUCCGUUUCAGCCCAAAAGAGGAAGAUUCUUGUCCAACCUGGCUCUUGAAAGGUUCCCUGGCAGGAUGAGGCAUAUGAGGGGGAAACCCAAGAGGGAAAGCGCUAGAGAUAAGAAGGAGCGCAGGCAGGCAAUGAUUGAGGCCCGGCAACAGGUCACCACUGUGGUGCUGCCCACAGUGGUUCUCCUAAUUCUCUUUAUUGUGAUUCUGUUCUACAUCCUGACACGCCCUGCUGUCAACAAAUGCCAAGAACCACAAAUCCUCAAAACCUAAAAGAUGUACCAGGAGAAAAAAGAAAUGGGAUGGAAGCGAAAAGCAAAACCAGAAGCUUCCAAUUUCUUAAUGUCUCUAAAGUUUCAAGUCUACUCAUUGAUUAUAAUUCCCUAACACUUUCUGAAAUUCAAUAAAAAAGUUCAUCAGCAAACA